rnacentral:rRNA from 1 species
UGGGGAAUUUUGGACAAUGGGCGAAAGCCUGAUCCAGCAAUGCCGCGUGUGUGAAGAAUGCCUUCGGGUUGUAAAGCACUUUUGUCCGGAAAGAAAACGCCGUGGUUAAUACCCGUGGCGGAUGACGGUACCGGAAGAAUAAGCACCGGCUAACUACGUGCCAGCAGCCGCGGUAAUACGUAGGGUGCAAGCGUUAAUCGGAAUUACUGGGCGUAAAGCGUGCGCAGGCGGUCCGCUAAGACAGAUGUGAAAUCCCCGGGCUUAACCUGGGAACUGCAUUUGUGACUGGCGGGCUAGAGUAUGGCAGAGGGGGGUAGAAUUCCACGUGUAGCAGUGAAAUGCGUAGAGAUGUGGAGGAAUACCGAUGGCGAAGGCAGCCCCCUGGGCCAAUACUGACGCUCAUGCACGAAAGCGUGGGGAGCAAACAGG